AUGCUUCUGGAGCUGUUCAAGCGCGACCCUCAGCACCCAUUUAUGUUGCCGCGGAGUGUCGUUCCGCUGUGCAACAAUUCUUCACUCGACCGCAUCCGCGCGAUGAUGCCGUUGUGCGACUCACGCGGAAUCGUCCCGACCUGGCAAGAGCCCGCCGACGAUGUCGUGCGAGAUUUCUUUGACGGCUUGGUCGAAGUGCCGGUCCGCACUGACGAACAGAAGAGCCUCACCCGUGACACCACCGAUGCGGAGAUGCAGCGCAUCGCCACCAGGCUGGAAGAGGCGGCGGCAGCUGCUGCCGCGGGUGAGUUUGGAUUCACCUUGGAGGAGGCUGAGGCAGUGGAGGCGGCAAGUCUUGCCGAGCGCGAGGAGUUUGCCAGCGAGGAAGGGCUUGCCGGGCCUGAAGAUGAGCCGAGCAAGCCCGCCGAGGGCGCGGGCGACCCGUUGCAGAUCGGCUCUUUCUCCUCCCCACCUUCAGCCAGCUCACUGCAUGCGGAGCCCCCAGCCCCACCAAGAAGGCGUCUCCGCAGGGCCGGGGACGUGGCAGGGCGGCAGACGAGUCAACAGCCGUCGCAGCGCACGACGCGCUCGACCGCGGCAAGCACUGUUGCCGCGGGAGCACCUCACGCCGCUGCGGCAACCGGAGCGGGAUCUUCCCGGUCCACCGCGCCUGCUCCUGCCAAGCGGGCAAGGGAGCCUACUCCUCCGCCUCGCCGCACCGGAGGUGAGCCGGACUUCGAUCUCUCCGCGCUCAGCUCCGACGACAAAGAAGAAGAGACUCUGGCCCAGAGAGCGGCAAAGAGAGCCAAGGCUCCGGUGAUUGUCAUCGAGGACGACCCCGCCACGACGGCAGAGGACAUGUCCGAGACCACCUUGUCGGACCCGGCAAUCAUUUCUCAAAGCAGCCCCUAG
rnacentral:rRNA from 1 species